rnacentral:misc_RNA from 1 species
CUUUUAUCAGUUAUGACACUCUGAACAAACUUGGAAUUUCCCAGCCUGUUCAGUUCUUGCUGUCCAGGUAUCCUGAAGGUCUUCCUAUGAUUACUGCAUUUGCUCACCCCUCCUUGAUUGAGAUGUUGGAUUCUGCUGUUGAGGAUGCGAUUGAGCGUGGUAGCUGGAUUGAUUCUCUUUCUAUAUUACCUGCAUCCUUCGGAUCACAAGAUGCGUCUAAGAUUUUGUCACUUUGUCCUUCUGUUCAAUUAGCCCUCAAGGGUAAUAAAGCACUCAUCCUGGGAGAGUCAUAUGUAUUCAGUAAUGGUUUCGUCAAGUCCAUUUAUGAUUGCAUGGAAAAAGAGAUGGAUGCCUUUAGUCUCUCAGGGUCUUCUGGUGUUGUGCUGAGCGAUGACUCAAAAUUGGUUAAGGAAGUUAAAGUUAGAAAUGAUUCCAGCAAAUCUAGUGAGGUAAGCAACACUGGUAAUGAGAAAAAGAAGAAAAAGGGAAAAUCUGCUGGAACAAAAACAGCUGAAAGCAUUCCUGAUGAUGAUGACUACGUUCCUGCAAAAUCUAAGAAAAACCAAAGGAAGGGCAAGGAUGCAUCUUCUAAUCAAGUGUCAGAUACCAAAACAGGAGCUAAAAAGGAUUUAGCUAAAGAUGACAAAAUUAAUGUUCCUUCAGAAGAGUGGGUAACGCAAAAGAUCCUCACUCUGGUUCCUGAUUUUGAAGAGCAAGGUGUAGAAGAUCUGCAGAUAAUACUUAGACCGUUAUCUAACUAUAUGAGGCCUAUGCUUAUUAAUUAUUUGAAAGAGAGAAGGAAGGCGUUAUUUACAGAGAAUACUGAGAAAAUGAAACGGUUGCUUGAUAAUCUGCAAAAGAGGCUUGAUGAGUCUUUCUUAAAUAUGCAGCUGUAUGAAAAAGCACUAGAUUUGUUUGAAGAUGACCAAUCAACUUCAGUUGUUUUGCACAGGCAUUUAUUAAGAACAAUAGCUGCUUCUAUUGCAGAUAUGCUCUUUCAUAACUUGGACAUGCACAACAAAUUGAAGAAUGGAAUUGAAGUCGAAGAGUCUCAGAGUUUAGAAUCUAUCACUCUUAAUUCUGCAGAAAGAAUUGCUCUUGUAUGAAGUAUCUACCACCCUAUUUUACGUGAGAUGUAUCAAAAGUUUAAAGAACCCGCAAAACUGACAUAUGCUUUUAUACCAACCAC